rnacentral:lncRNA from 1 species
GUGGCCCAUGGUGCUAAAUUAACUGUUAACACAAAUAAUCAAAGUACAAGGCCCAUCAAGCCGCUGGCGCCAGCAAAAUGAGGGAGAGGCCAGGUCAGCCUUGCUCCAAAGAGCCAGGCCACUAGCAGGUGGAGACGAACCAAGGGACCGGACAGGAUGGAAGUGCUUACAGAACACAGUGACCAACUGACAGAGGAAAACGCCACUGCACUCCCGCCUUCCAGCUAUUGUGUGGGCCCAGGGUUUGAAAACAUCUCAUGAGGAGAAAUGUCUUUAUUAAGAAAUUGACUGUCUAAAAUUUAAACAUGAAUGCAUAUUCUGUAGGGAAAGUAUCUCUCCCUCCACCCAAGAACUUCUCCAAGCAUUAAAACAUGUCUUGAAUUAUAAGCAGCUAGUAACAAAAAACUAAGGAACAAAAACUGAGCAACAGCAUGAAAUGCAUACACAUAUAUCCAGUGUAUUUUCAUAAAUAUUUGGCUCUGGUGUACAUAUCAGAUGAUUACUCUAAGGACAUCCGAAUGAGACUUUAGCUGUAUCUACAGGGAGCCAAAUCAGUUUUUAAAGUUAAAACUGAUGUCAAAUUAACAUCUGCACAAGCUUACCUGCAUACCUUAAGUACACACUGUACUUUCUGCCUUUUAGAAUUCUUCUCUUUCUUCAAGGCAGGAUGUAGGUGCCAUGUCUCCCUCACAGUUUUCUCAGAUCUUCCUUAAUGAAAAAUGUACUUUCCCCCUGAAAUGUUCUUAGCAUCUUUUAUUUGAAUCUCUCUUUUGUUGCUAUCACAACCUAACUUCUACCAUACAAAUAUGUAAUGUCAUUUCCCAUCCCUACUCCUACUAAAAUGAAAAGCUCCUUGAGGUCAAGGACUGAUCUUUCUUAUCUUUUCAUUUCUAACUCCUAAAAUAGUGCCCUUAUUGAAUUAAUUUUUAAAUUUAUUCUUUUAAAAUGCAUUUAAAUUUUUAAAUGUAUCACAUUUUUAAGUAUUUCUUGAAUUAAAUUUUGCAACAUCGAAUUAAAUCAGGUCAAUAGCCUUUACUAAGUAUUUACUGUGUCAGGCACUAUACUACUAUACUGAGUGCUAGAAAUAUAAGCAAAAAAAAAAAAUUCCCUGCCCUCAAGGAGCUUACAUUCUAAUGGGGGAAGACUACAAAAAAAAAAAAGAAAGUUGAAAAGUUGAGGGAGGGGAAAUACAAUACCUACUGAGGACAUAGUAGAAAGAAAAUAGAAGAAUGAUGGAUAGGGUGGGUUCUUUCUCAAAAUAGAGGUUCCAGAAGGAACUCACCUGUGGCAGAAGGGGGCCAAUAGGACAGAGGGCAAAGGCAGCUGAAGCAUGAUGGUGAAAUUCUUUCUGUCAUUUAUUCAAGAAGAUGUAGAUUUUUAAAACAAUUUUAACUUAAUUCAACUUUGUUUUUACCAAGUUCAAAUAAAUAAACAUAUAUAAAUGGAUAUAGCUUAUGA